rnacentral:rRNA from 1 species
AGCGAACGCUGGCGGCAGGCCUAACACAUGCGAGUCGAACGAACUCUUCGGAGUUAGUGGCGGACGGGUGAGUAACACGGGGGAACGUGCCUUUUGGUUCGGAAUAACUCAGGUAAACUUGUGCUAAUACCGAAUGUGCCCUUCGGGGGAAAGAUUUAUCGCCAUUAGAGCGGCCCGCGUCUGAUUAGCUGGUUGGUGAGGUAACGGCUCACCAAGGCGACGAUCAGUAGCUGGUCUGAGAGGAUGACCCGCCACACUGGGACUGCGACACGGCCGAGAAUGCUAGGCGAGGGAGGAGAGGGGAAUCUAGCGAAAUGGGGGCAAGCCUGACGCCGCCAUGCCGGGUAAAUGAUGAAGGUGUUAGGAUUGUAAAAUUGUUUAACCCGGGGCGAUAAUGACGGUACCCGGAGAAGAAGCACCGGCUAACUUCGUG